CCCUUUGUUCGUGCCUGAGCCUUCAGGUUGCUCAUACAUAACUGAAAACAUUUAAUUUAAGCAAGGAUGAGCAUUUGAGUGCCCAGCAAGUAAUAUCAAUUAUAUAUAUAAGCUGAAAGAAUAUAAGUAUUCUCUUUACAUAACACUUCUACAACGAAUUGAAAGUUGUGAAGUAAUCUGUACUAAUAAAAAAUUCACAUAACAACUCUUUUUCAAAUUCUUUAAAUUUGGCUCUGGGUCUACCCAUGAAUAGGGUUUAAGAAACAUACUAUGAACAUUCUUUUCAUUUUCAAAAAGGUUUGGUAGAAAUCCAUCCGCAAACCGUUCUAGCUUACGAGUACGGAGGGUGAUCAGCCCCGUUGUACCCUGUAUUGAUCAAUACUACAUAACUCUGAACGAAAUUCAUCGUUUUAUUCUGUCUGCCUCAGGCGCAAAAAUUUUCCCAUAUAGGGAUGUUCAUACAUGCCUGGUUCCAAACCCGAAGAUUUUUAAUCUUGCUCAACAAUAAUAUGUAGUUCAACAUAUAUAUAUAUACGGGUAAUUGACAAAGGUGUAUCAACAUGUGAAUAAAUGCCAUGAUUAUCCAAGUGGGGACACUUGUAUAACCAUUUAGAAAUCAACUUAACAGAAUAUAUAUCUGAGCUAACAUGUUGAUAAUCAAAGCGUACAUAAUCUGUACAGGAAUAGAAAAGAAUUCUGAAACUCUCUUACUCAUGUCCA
rnacentral:lncRNA from 1 species